CCUACGGGUGGCAGCAGUGAGGAAUAUUGGUCAAUGGACGAGAGUCUGAACCAGCCAAGUAGCGUGAAGGAAGACUGUCCUAUGGAUUGUAAACUUCUUUUGUAAGGGAGCAAAGUCAUCCACGUGUGGGAGUUUGAGAGUACCUGAAGAAAAAGCAUCGGCUAACUCCGUGCCAGCAGCCGCGGUAAUACGGAGGAUGCGAGCGUUAUCCGGAUUUAUUGGGUUUAAAGGGUGCGUAGGGGGGUUAUAAAGUCAGUGGUAAAAUCGUGGAGCUAAACUCCAUCCAGCCGUUGAAACUGGUGGUCUUGAGUGGGCGAGAAGUAUGCGGAAUGCGUGGUGUAGCGGUGAAAUGCUUAGAUAUCACGCAGAACUCCGAUUGCGAAGGCAGCAUACCGGCGCCCGACUGACGCUGAAGCACGAAAGCGUGGGUAUCGAACAGGAUUAGAUACCCUUGUAGUC
rnacentral:rRNA from 1 species